AUUGAACGCUGGCGGCGGGCCUAACACAUGCAAGUCGAACGAGUCGCGGACGGGUGAGUAAUGUCUGGGAACCUGCCUGCUGGAGGGAGAUCACUACAGGAAACGGUAGCUAAUACCACAUUCCAUCGGUUGUGCCCACAUGGGAUUAGCUAGUAGGUGGGGUAAAGGCUCACCUAGGCGACGAUGCUUAGCUGGUCUGAGAGGAUGACCAGCCACACUGGAACGGAGACACGGUCAAGACUCCUACGGGAGGCAGCAGUGGGGAAUAUUGCACAAUGGGCGCAAGCCUGACGGAGCCAUGCCGCGUGUAUGAAGAAGGCCUUCGGGUUGUAAAGCACUUUCAGCGGGGAGGCGGUACCUGCAGAAGAAGCCCCGGCUAACUACGUGCCAGCAGCCGCGGUAAUUC
rnacentral:rRNA from 1 species